GACGUAGGGCGCAAGCGUUGUCCGGAUUUAUUGGGCGUAAAGAGCUCGUAGGCGGCUUGUUGCGUCGUCCGUGAAAACCUGUGGCUCAACUACAGGCUUGCGGUCGAUACGGGCGGGCUGGAGUUCGGUAGGGGAGACUGGAAUUCCUGGUGUAGCGGUGAAAUGCGCAGAUAUCAGGAGGAACACCGGUGGCGAAGGCGGAUCUCUGGGCCGAUACUGACGCUGAGGAGCGAAAGCGUGGGGAGCGAACAGG
rnacentral:rRNA from 1 species